ACUCACAGUUGAAAACAUUUAUAAACUAGAGAUUAGACUGAAUGGAAUGAAAAGUCUAUCCAAUCUUAUGAUGGCAGAGCAAAGCACAGGUAGCAAAAAGAAGUUGCAAUAGACAUUCUUGUACCUAAAUUAUCGGUCUUAUGGUAUGACGGUAAUUUACCCUGUGGGAAGAUGCGUAAUUAAUUGCUUUUCUUCGAUUUACGUUACCUAUUUCCGUUAGGGCGAGAGUAAAUGAAUUAGAAACGAACUUACAAAAGGAAAGAAUGUGAGCUCAGUGCACUAUCAAAUCUAACAAUUAUCACUUAACUCCCGUCGCAUUUCCGAAAGUAUUUGACAAGCGUUAUCACACAGAACUUCAGAAUCAAUCGUUCACCACACAGAAACAAGAGAAUAGAUUGAAAACCUCCAAAAUUAAACGAAAAACGAACACACGUAAUGAGAAUGACCAAGCAAUUUACUCUGACUAGACUAGAGACAGAGACUAGAUUCUAACCUCAAUAAACAACGCUGAAUGGUGGCUCGAUCGCUCCCGAAUAUGUCGAAGGCUGGCGGCAACUUUAAAUUCACGCACUGAAUAAAAUUGACGUAAAACAUUAUAAUUUUCUGCGAAUUUGCACGGGGCCGUCUCAAUUUUAAUCCGACGGUGACCUAUUCUAUUCAACUCAAUCACGAUGAUGAUUUGAACUGCACUGGCGAGGCAUCAGAACAGAAACUACCCUCUUGGUUCACCGGUCGGAGGGCGGUGAAUCGAACCGUUGGAAAUCCCUGUCUCCAAUUCGGGUUAAGGUGGUCACUGGGAAGGCUACGUACAAUACCUGCUACCGGAUUUCAAUUAACCGGACUCCCGGUCGCCGAAGAGGGCAAAGGUUGGGUUUUCCACUGUGUACUACCUAUUGCUCCUGCUGUCAAGCCGGCCUCGGAGAUCGUUACUCGGAUUCACCUGCAUGGUUCGUUCUCUCAACUGGACGGAUUUUUUUCCGUGCAUCAACUUACAAAUCAGGAACCCGUGGUGCACGGUAACUUCGUGUUAAUCGAAAGAAAUUCCAUCCUUUCUUCAUUCACGAACUCUUAUGGAAAUGGAGCUAAAGCGCCUACGCCAGGGGAGCGACGAUGUAUUCGAAAGAAUUACACCCCCCGGGAAAGAACUCUGACCCAAAUCCAUCAAGAAGAAAUAGUGUUUCCCAGGAGCGUCUCACCUCUUACUCUGUUCUGGUGCAGGUGCAGAUCGCUGAGAACCAAAUACGACAAGAACCGUUACCAGUCUUGCUUUACCUCCAAUGGCCAGCUUGAGUGA
rnacentral:lncRNA from 1 species